rnacentral:rRNA from 1 species
UACGUAGGGGGCUAGCGUUGUCCGGAAUCAUUGGGCGUAAAGGGCGCGUAGGCGGCCUUCUAAGUCAGACGUGAAAUCCCCCGGCUUAACCUGGGAACUGCGUCUGAUACUGGGAGGCUUGAGUAUGGGAGAGGGAUGUAGAAUUCCAGGUGUAGCGGUGAAAUGCGUAGAUAUCUGGAGGAAUACCGGUGGCGAAGGCGGCAUCCUGGACCAUAACUGACGCUGAGGCGCGAAAGCUAGGGGAGCAAACGGG